CCUACGGGAGGCAGCAGUGGGGAAUCUUGGGCAAUGGGCGAAAGCCUGACCCAGCGACGCCGCGUGGGGGAUGAAGCCCUUCGGGGUGUAAACCCCUGUUGCGAGGGAGGAAUAAGGCCUGGAGGAAAUGCCAGGCCGAUGACUGUACCUCGCGAGGAAGCCCCGGCUAACUACGUGCCAGCAGCCGCGGUAAUACGUAGGGGGCGAGCGUUACCCGGAUUCACUGGGCGUAAAGCGGGUGUAGGCGGCUCGGUAAGUCGGGUGUGAAAUCCCACAGCUCAACUGUGGAAUUGCGCCCGAAACUGCUGAGCUUGGGGCCGGUAGAGGGAGACGGAACUGCCGGUGUAGGGGUGAAAUCCGUAGAUAUCGGCAGGAACGCCGGUGGGGAAGCCGGUCUCCUGGGCCGCGCCCGACGCUGAGACCCGAAAGCUAGGGGAGCAAACC
rnacentral:rRNA from 1 species